CCCCCUGAAACUUUGACAUUG
rnacentral:snRNA from 1 species